rnacentral:RNase_P_RNA from 1 species
CUGGAAGAAGAGGUGGUCGCAGUUAACCAGUUAACUGGUUAACUGAGGAAAGUCCAGGCUCCAUGGGCAAGAGUGCUGAACGCAAGUUCAGCGGGAGUAAUCCCGGGAAAGUGUCACAGAAACUACACCGCCAGGAUUUUAAGGAUCCUGGUAAGGGUGAAAUAGUGUGGUAAGAGCACACUAUGAGAUCAGGUGACUGAUCUCAUGGACAAACCCCACUCGGAGCAAGGUCAAAUAGGAGAACUUUGCCCAAUUUAUCAAGUUCUCGGGUAGACCGCUUAGAUAGAUGACCACCUUAAACACAGAACCUGGCUUAUCUUCUUCCAGGUUC